rnacentral:rRNA from 1 species
GUGAACGCUGGCGGUAGGCCUAACACAUGCAAGUCGAACGGCAGCACAGUAAGAGCUUGCUCUUACGGGUGGCGAGUGGCGGACGGGUGAGGAAUACAUCGGAAUCUACUUUUUCGUGGGGGAUAACGUAGGGAAACUUACGCUAAUACCGCAUACGACCUACGGGUGAAAGCAGGGGAUCUUCGGACCUUGCGCGAUUGAAUGAGCCGAUGUCGGAUUAGCUAGUUGGCGGGGUAAGGGCCCACCAAGGCGACGAUCCGUAGCUGGUCUGAGAGGAUGAUCAGCCACACUGGAACUGAGACACGGUCCAGACUCCUACGGGAGGCAGCAGUGGGGAAUAUUGGACAAUGGGCGCAAGCCUGAUCCAGCCAUACCGCGUGGGUGAAGAAGGCCUUCGGGCUGUAAAGCCCUUUUGUUGGGAAAGAAAAGCAGCAGGUUAAUACCCCGCUGUUCUGACGGUACCCAAAGAAUAAGCACCGGCUAACUUCGUG